UACGAAGGGGGCUAGCGUUGCUCGGAAUCACUGGGCGUAAAGCGCACGUAGGCGGAUCUUUAAGUCAGGGGUGAAAUCCCAAGGCUCAACCUUGGAACUGCCUUUGAUACUGGGAAUCUCGAGUCCGGAAGAGGUGAGUGGAACUGCGAGUGUAGAGGUGAAAUUCGUAGAUAUUCGCAAGAACACCAGUGGCGAAGGCGGCUCACUGGUCCGGUACUGACGCUGAGGUGUGAAAGCGUGGGGAGCAAACAGG
rnacentral:rRNA from 1 species